rfam:Ichthyophthirius multifiliis unplaced genomic scaffold scaff_1120509251233, whole genome shotgun sequence.
AGCCUUGUAGCUCAAUGGUAGAGCAGUGGUUUUCGGGACCAAAGGUUCAGGGUUCGAGUCCCUGCAGGGUUG